GACGAACGCUGGCGGCGUGCUUAACACAUGCAAGUCGAACGCUGAAGCUCAGCUUUUGUUGGGUGGAUGAGUGGCGAACGGGUGAGUAACACGUGAGUAACCUGCCUCCUUCUUUGGGAUAACGCCCGGAAACGGGUGCUAAUACUGGAUAUUCACUGGUCUUCGCAUGGGGGUUGGUGGAAAGGGUUUUUCUGGUGGGGGAUGGGCUCGCGGCCUAUCAGCUUGUUGGUGGGGUGAUGGCCUACCAAGGCUUUGACGGGUAGCCGGCCUGAGAGGGUGACCGGUCACAUUGGGACUGAGAUACGGCCCAGACUCCUACGGGAGGCAGCAGUGGGGAAUAUUGCACAAUGGGCGCAAGCCUGAUGCAGCGACGCCGCGUGAGGGAUGGAGGCCUUCGGGUUGUGAACCUCUUUCGCUCAUGGUCAAGCCGCAACAAUGGUUGUGGUGAGGUUAGUGGGUAAAGAAGCGCCGGCUAACUACGUG
rnacentral:rRNA from 1 species